GAUCAUGGCUCAGGAUGAACGCUAGCUACAGGCUUAACACAUGCAAGUCGAGGGGAACGAUAUUGGAAGCUUGCUUCCGAUAGGCGUCGACCGGCGCACGGGUGAGUAACGCGUAUCCAACCUGCCCACCACUUGGGGAUAACCUUGCGAAAGUAAGUACUAAUACCCAAUGAUAUCUCUAGAAGACAUCUGAAAGAGAUUAAAGAUUCAUCGGUGAUGGAUGGGGAUGCGUCG
rnacentral:rRNA from 1 species